rnacentral:misc_RNA from 1 species
AAGUAAGAGUGUGAGCAGGAGCGGUUAGAAACCGGAGCAUAAGCGGGCCUGAGCGUGAUGGCCGGGCUUUGGCCAUUGCGGUCAGGGUCCUUAUGUGCAGGUUUCUGCGACUGCGAACGCGUUUCGAUGACAAGUACGUUAAGUUCAAGGCAGCAAUUAAACAAUGAUAGCCAGUUUUGAGAGCGCAAAGUUCUCAUAAGUGUGGUGGCGAU